CGCCCCCUCCGCUCCCCGCCCCCCGCUCCCCGCUCCCCUCUGGCUCCCCGUGGCGGCGGGGGAUGGGGGAGCUCUGCGCCCUCGAGACCAGCCACUGCCCCCAGGUACGAGGAAGUGAAGGCCAAGGUCCUGCCGACAGGGAGUGUUGCUGCAAGGAGCUGCUGGCCGCCGCCGAGGAGAGCAGGAGAGCGCUCUUUGGGGUGGGGGCUUCUGCGAACGGCAGCUCCUGUCUAGAAGGGAAAACGCUGUAUCUGCUGGAUGACUGAUAGUUCUCAUUUAGCGUUGAGCUGGCUGUUGGGAGAAGGGCUUCUGCUUUACUUCACAAGAUUCGAUUUAUUUGCUUUUGUUCCGAUCUGCAUGUUCCCACAGCGUUUUAGAACGUUUGAGCACAGUGUCUUUAAAGCAAAAAAUAAAGCAAAAAUCUCAGCGUGA